UUUAAGUUAUAGGCCAUGGAUGUCCGGCUCAAAUAGCAUAUUGCUCUAUUCAGAAAGCUUUUUAUUCUGAUAUAGUUAAAAUUUUGCAUUGCAGAGGGUCCAAAUUUGCUUCGUAUCUCCUUAAAGGGCAUAAUCUUAGCCUUUUUAAAUAAAUCUGAGAUCUUUUUAAUACCCCGUCUUGUGCAUUCCCGUAUAUCUAGGUCAUCAAUCCAUCUAUCUAAAUAAGUAAAUGGUAAUGCUGGUCAGAU